rnacentral:misc_RNA from 1 species
GAAAUGCGAUAAGUAAUGUGAAUUGCAGAAUUCCGUGAAUCAUCGAAUCUUUGAACGCACAUUGCGCCCUCUGGUAUUCCGGGGGGCAUGCCUGUCCGAGCGUCAUUGCGAACCCCUCAAGCACGGCUUGUGUGAUGGGCCCUCCCGCGUCUUGGUCGUCAAGACGGGCCCGAAAAGCAGUGGCGGCUUCGCGGUUAUCCGAUCAGCCAGAGCGUAUGGGGACUUUCUCUCUGUCACACGCCCGGCGCGGACCGACGCCUGUCGACCUUUAUUCAUCUUUUUCUCGGUUGACCUCGGAUCAGGUAGGGAUACCCGCUGAACUUAAGC